UGUUUUUGCUGCUCUUUCAGGUAGUGUGUGUAUGGACAUGGCAUUUUUAAGCCCUGCGGUGGGCUGUUUGUGCAUUUUCUAUUGGCUCCACCUUCUCUUCUGCAGCAAGAGAUCAUUGGGCAGCAUGACCUCAAAGCAAUGGAUGCUGGCUGUCUGCUUCUCACUGGCCUCAGUUUUAGGGACGGCUGAAUCGGUCACAACAGAAACUCAGAAAUACACUUGUAGGACAUUAGGCAGUGGAGUCAUCCAGCCUUUCAAUGGU